rnacentral:rRNA from 1 species
GACGAACGCUGGCGGCGUGCUUAACACAUGCAAGUCGAACGGAAAGGCCCUGCUUUUGUGGGGUGCUCGUGUGGCGAACGGGUGAGUAACACGUGAGUAACCUGCCCUUGACUUUGGGAUAACUUCAGGAAACUGGGGCUAUUACCGGAUAGGAGCUCCUGCUGCACGGUGGGGGUUGGAAAGUUUCGGCGGUUGGGGAUGGACUGGCGGCUUAUCAGCUUGUUGGUGGGGUAGUGGCUUACCAAGGCUUUGACGGGUAGCCGGCCUGGGAGGGUGACCGGCCACAUUGGGACUGAGAGACGGCCCAGACUCCUACGGGAGGCAGCAGUGGGGAAUAUUGCAGAAUGGGCGGAAGCCUGAUGCAGCAACGCCGCGUGCGGGAUGACGGCCUUCUGGUUGUAAACCGCCUUCGCCUGUGACGAAGCGUGAGUGACGGUAAUGGGUAAAGAAGCACCGGCUAACUACGUG